UACGUAGGGCGCAAGCGUUGUCCGGAUUUAUUGGGUGUAAAGGGCGCGUAGGCGGCUCGGCACGUCCGUUGUGAAAUCGCCCGGCUCAACUGGGCGGGGUCAGCGGAUACGGUCGAGCUUGAGCAAGCUAGGGGGCAAUGGAAUUCCCGGUGUAGUGGUGGAAUGCGUAGAUAUCGGGAGGAACACCAGUGGCGAAGGCGGUUGCCCUGGGGCUUUGCUGACGC
rnacentral:rRNA from 1 species